rnacentral:lncRNA from 1 species
GCACCCCAGCCUGGGCAACAGAGUGAGACUCUGUCUCACUCUGUUGCACAGUUUACAACAACAAAACUAUAGCAUCCAUCACAUAGAGGAGAGACUCCCCAACACACAUAUAAGGAUUACUCUCAGCCCCAGCUCCCUCAAACUUCCUAAGAUCAGCACUGGUAUCUGAUGGUGGCUCCUUGUAAAUCAAACUUAAUGGAGUAUGUGUUAUUUGGUUUAUGUUUAUGUGCAGCCUGCAUAACAACCACUCUGUCAACAUCAUGCAUAUGUUCAUUGUGUUGGUACUAGAAGACUCUAUGACACACACAAGCUGAUGUCAUCUGAUGGGUCUAUUUUAUCUACUUGGCUGUGCAAAUCCUCUUCUGUAGUAUAUGCUUUCUGGUGGACACUAAUAUGGAACACAAAGAUCUUCUCACAUUGCAGCUGCUCCCAUAUAUCCAUUGAUAUAUGCCUCUAACUCCAGACCUUUUUGUCCUUAAUCUUCUAAUCCGGUUAUCUCUUUUCCUUUAGUGCAAUUUUUCCUUAUUUGUUUGUUUUGUUUUUUUUUUUAAGUAAAUAGCUAGGCUUCUAAGCCCUACCACAGAGAGUCAACAGACAAACUGCCCAGGGAAAAGUUAUGACCUCAGGCAAAGUGAAUUUCUACAGCUAAGGCAGAUCCUGAAGAAGCUCACAAAUAAAGGCUGCAUACUCACACAUUCCCUGAAGCUUGACAGUGCCAGCCACCAUACUGUGAGGGAGCUGAAGUAAGCCCACAUGAGGAAGAAUUGAGGUCCCAAGCCAACAGCUGCAGCUAAGAUCCAAGCUCUCAACCAGUACCAGUUCAUCCGUUAUUUCCCAACAAUAUCAAUGAAUAAGAAGGAAGUCUUAAGGCUCCAGGAAUCCCCUCAGGGAGACUAGCUUUCAGAAUUUUAGGCACACUAAGAUAUGGAAGCUAAAAGAGGACUAAGAGGAUUCUGGGGAUAUUACAAGAUAUUGCAGACUAUCUUGUUUUCCUGGAAAAGGAUUUUACCUCAGUCGACUGAAUUACUUUUUUCACUGUGUCUUGCCACUCUUCGUGCAUGCAUCAAAGACCCUAAUAUGACUUCUGGUGGCCUGGGACUCCUUGGGAAAACAGAAAAGGGGCCACAAAUCCCAUUUUGGGAACAAUCUGUUUUACUCAUGGAACCCCUGGAAUUAGAGAUACAACUGGAGAAACUGUUCUGUGGAGGCUUUGAGUGGAAGGGUGUGCUUCCCUUUAAGGAAUCAAGCUUGAUUUGCAAAGCCAAUAAAACCCCCUUAAGAAAACUGGCCUCCUACCUGUCUACACAGUCUCUGUACAAGAUUACUGACCUGUGGUGAGCAAAAAAAUGUCACUUUCUAACAGACCUAGGAACUCCAUGCUUCUAAAAUCUCAGGAAGAAAAAAGUUUAUCCAACUCACAGUUAUUUGUAGAUACAAACCCAUGGCUGGGCUUGGUUUUAAAAAGUCCGAUCUGAAAUUCCUUGUGGAACAGAGAGUUCCAUCAAAGCCAAUCAAAAAGGCCUAUAUAGAGGUGAUUAUUCUUGCUUCAUUUUAUGCAAAUAAUCAGGCCAAGUAUACAACUAAAGUUUACUUUGCAAACAGCUAAGUCCUAUCAUAAGUUGUUUUUUAACAAAAUGAGGACUAGAGAGACAGAAAUUAUGUUUCAAAAUUUAUCAUACAUCUGUCAUUGGAUUCAAGUCUCAUUAGUCAUUUUUAAAUUCUUGUCUACAUUUUAAACUAACCAUGCUAAUUCUUGUAAUCCAACCACAUCUCCAGCUGUGGCUCAAACAAAACAGAAAGUGAUAGGUAAUGUAAAAAUCUCGAACAAUGUUCUGGCUGGGCAAUUAUCCUAUAAAUCUUGCUAGGUAGCCUAUAACCCCAAGGUUUUCUUUUUUUGGGAAAGUAAGAUCAAGAAAGUUUAAAAAAGCCUAGCCCCAUACACUCACUUAAAACAGCACAACCCAUCUAAAUGGCUUACAGGUAUCAAAUAAACUCUGUUGUCAUGGUUAUGGCCUAUAGUGCCCCCACUAAUAAUGGUAGUCUUAAUACUCAUAUUUUAACCCUAUAUUCUAAACCUCCUUGUAAAGUUUACUUCUUCUCACCUAGAAACCAUCAAGCUUUAAAUGGUGUGGCAAAAGGAGCUGAAAAUUAAACUGACCUUCUACUGCAUACCCUUAAAUUGACCCAGGAGGAGCCCUAGCUGCUAUUCCCAUGCCACGCCCCUCUCCAGCAGGAAGUAGCCAGAGUAAGUCGACGCCCAAUUCCCCGUAACAGCAGUUAGGAAUUUCAUUCCUGAGGGGGGUGUUUGUUAUAGGAGAUAAAAAUAAAUUAUUUGGGUAGACAGAGUAAAGAGAGUCCCCGGCAGAAUACUUUCCUUCUAACAAAAAGCAGCUCAGAAAUGGCUCCCUUUCUAACCUUGUGAAGUUCAAAGAAAUCAUUUCUCUUCUAACAAAGAACAACCUGAAAGGCUGUAAAAACACAG